GGUGUUUACUGCCAUCUAGUGGAAGAUACCAAUAAAACACUUUAUUAUCAGGAUGGGGAGACGGUUGAGCUGAAAAAGGAAGUAAAGUUGUUCUUUUGAACAGGAUCCAUUUUAAGACGACAGAGCAGAAAACGCUAUAUGGAGAGAACUAAAAAAUAAAGAUCCAUUUUGAGACGACUGAGCAGAAAACGCUAUAUGGAGAGAACAAAAAAAUAAAGGGUCAGUGGUCUAAA